AUAUAAUCAGUUUUGAUUAUAUUUGGAUUGUCUUGUGGAUUUAAAUGUUGACAAAAUAGGUACAUAAAAUAAUUUUUACAACAUAGGAAUAUGUAGUUGGGUAUAUUGAUUAGUUAUUUUGAUAAUAACUAUGAACAUCAAGCACAUUGUUGAAUUUACUUCAGGAAACUAUUAUACAGAAUAGUAUCAUUGUGUUCAUGAUCAUAAAUAAAUACAGUUCCUUCCAUAAGAAUAUAUCAUAAGUAUUAGACAGAUAAUUUUCUGCUAAAGCAAGUUUUCAUUUCCUUAUCCAAAGAUUCUCACAUUUUCUGACUUAUUUUUUGAAGUUAAAAAAUCUUUUCAUUACUUCUAUGAUCCUUUGUCCAUCAUGUUGUUGAUUCAUCUUCUAUAACAAUUCUCUUUUCCACCUCCUCACUAAAUUCUGUGAAUCAGGAUCAAAGACAAAGAUGUCUGAGCUGGUGAAAGAAAUGUAUGAUAUUUUAACCAGCUGAAGAACACUCAUUGAUGCCAUCCAUGGUUUUUUCAAAUAACUAGGUCAUUAAGGAUCAUAAAUCAUAAAGUAUCUUUGCUAGAAAAAAAAAUGCAUACCUGUUAAGCAAAAAUCCAUGCUCAUUAGUCUAUAAUCCUAUAUGCAAUCAAGUUCGGGUGAUUUAUUUUCAGAUAAGAGAUAUGAAAACUCUAUGUUGAGAUACAAUGAUAUUGAGGAAAAGACACUAAAAUGAACCACUCAAGGGAAUUUGACCUCUAAAAUAUGGUUAGUAAGAUGAGCUCUACCUCACAGAUUUUAGCAGGGAAAUGUGGUGAGCAAAUGUAGACUUUCAAAGGAAAGGAAGUUCAUACAGCUGUUUGACUGUGAGAAUUAGAUAAACUGUGGUCAUAAAAUAUAGACUCUUUUACUUCCUGAAUUCAACUCAGUUCAAUUCAUUUCAGCAAAUAUUUAUUGAGUCUACAUUAUUUGUCUGUCAAUAUUAACUUCCUAGAAUCAUAAUCUUUAGGUUAGAUGAGGGUUUAGAGGUCACCUAAUCCAAGAUUCUUCCCAAGGAAGGAAUUUGGGUAUGGAUUUUUGUUAUGAAGUGAUAUUUCUUGGAGACUUUUUAUUAAGAGUAGUUAGGAAAUAGAGUCCAGAGGUGGCUGGCUACUCAAGCUCUUUCCAAAGAUUCUUGCAUUUCAAUGAGUAAAUUUCCUCAGUGCUUUGUUCGAAUGCAUGUUGAGAAAUUUACUUCUGGAUAUAUGUAUCCUAAGAAAUAAGUAUGCUUCCUGCUUCUGCCUGGCCAACCUGAACUCCCUUCCAUCAGCUUCCUAAAGGUUUCCUUCUUCCUAAAGGUUUAUACUGCAGCUAACUCACUCAUCCUCUAGAACCAAGUCUGGGGUCAGACCUCCCAUUGAUGAGGUGAUCUUACUUUGGUAUUGCUUCCUCGUCCUCAUUAUUGACUUUGGAUAGAGCAUGCUACUGUUGCUUUGCUUAACAACCAUCCUCAACGUUACACUGAUUAUCUGAGGACAGUCUUUAAUUUUACCAUAAGCAAGGUCAUCAAGGAUUUUCUACCUCAUCUUUGAUGAAGAAUCAUUAAAGAUGACUUUAAUGUCAAGAGUUGACUCCCCUGGAAAAGAAAAUACAUGCUGAGCACAUUGGUUGGAAAAGCCCUACUAGUCCAGUUCUUUUCUGCAGCAGAAAUUCAGAAAGAGCGUCCUUGAGAACAUUCUGGGCUGCAGACACGUGGACCUUUGCAGUGAGUGCUUACUCAUUCUAAAGCAGUGCCUUUUCCUAAGGCACUCACUGGCAAGAUCAAAUCAGCUUGAUAAAUAGAACCAUCAGGUAUAUCUGCUUCUCCACAGAUAACUUAGUCACUAAACAUAAAAUGAAAUCUAAAUGCUUGUAAGUACCAUGAUUUAUCUGAGUGGAGCUUUUUUUUUGGGGGGGGGGGGCAGCCUAUAAAAGUGUUUUAGGUGCAUCCUUUUUUUACCAUUCAUAACCAUUAAAAAGAAUAGAUGACACUAUUAUGUUGCCAACUACAGUCAGCCCUCCCUUGUCGAUAUGGUCAGCUUACUCUACCACUCGAUUCUAUAUGAGGCUUGAGCAUCCUUGGAUCUUGGUACCCACUGAGUCCUGGAACCCACCUUUCCUGGAUAAAGAAGGAUGACUACUUAGACUUAGAUUUCUAAAGUAGAAACUGAGAAAAGCAUGCAAAAAGAGAGAUGACUAUAAACAUAUUAAAUCUUGAAUAUUGUUUUUUGAAUAAUAAUGACAGAAACAAAAAAGUCACCAUGAAAAAUAGUUCACCUCAAUUAGAGAGAUUUGAUAUGAGCACAUAAUUGACAUAAAAAAUUCACUGAGCAUGUGGAAGUUCCUGGGCCAGGGUGUGAACCUACACCACAGCAGUGCCCCAAGCUGUCGCAAUGACAACACUGAAUCCUUAACCUACUGUGUCACAUGAAACUCCUAUUCUAAUUUUGGUAGAUUUCUGACUUUCAUCAAUGGUAAUAUAUUUAUGAAUAUUUAAUUUACUGAUGUUUAAAUAAUAACACAGCUAACUCUGGUAAUACUUUAAGUAACUUGGUCAGGUCACUUAUUAGAUGGGUUUUUCUUAGGCUAGAUUUAUUUUUUUUUCAUUUAUUUACAAAGUAGACAUUUGAAGAAUACCUAGAAAAGGGAAGAGAGCUAUUUCUUAGAUAGAAGCACUCAUAUAAGUCAAAAUGAUAGUUUACUGUACUAAAAGUAAAUUUGUAAAUUGCACUUCUUCAAAACUUAAAAAAAGGGUGUUCUUGGAAAGAUUGUUAGAAAGGCAUGAAAAAGAUAAGCAAUAGACUGGAAAGAAGCAUUGACACUAUAUACCUGAAAAGAGAUUUGUAUCUACAGCAUAUAAACUACUCUCAAAACUAGUUAAAGAAAGAAAAAGAAAGGAAGAAAAGAAGGAAGGAAGGG
ensembl:lncRNA